AUAACUUCUCAUUUAAAGGCAAUUUGUAGAAAUAGGAAAGUUUAGAAGUCUCACGUUCACCAAAGGAUUGAAGAGUGUUUAAAAAGCCAAGAUCAGGCAUUUUAUGGAUGGAAGAGCUCGUGUGUCCCAUUGACCAGAGGAAAUCGAAACUCCAAGAAUAAGCUGCCCAAGUGAACACAGCCUCAGUGGGGAAGCUGCCUUCAAGAUAAAAGCUAUUUCUCCAAAGCACUUACUUGCAGAUGUGUGGUUAACUUUCCACCCCUGCAAAGGGGAACCCAUCCCUGCAAAUCACAAACACUCAGCAGGGCUGGAAGCUCCCUGAGGACAGAGGCUGAGUCUUCUUACUGCCAGCAAUUGCCUCAGACAGAAGUAAUGGGCAACAGAUAAAAUAAACAAAAGGCCCAAACCCUGGCUUAAUUGGGAAAAUGGUUUCUCCAUGUCGUAAUGCCUUGGAUGUGUCGAAAGACUCCAUGGUGUAAAGGUAUCGAGAAGGUUGCAUCCUGAGAUCAUCAAACUCAUUCAUUUACUCAACAAAUACAUGUCUAUUGUGUGGAAGAGCCAGUUCUGGGCCUGAGAAUUAAAGGGCGUAGUAAGACAGAUAUGGUCCCCGAUCUAGAACAUGCAACUUGUGGGGAGACCAACAUCAGCCAGUCAACCACAGGAAUAAAUGUAAAACUGCAACUGUGGAAGUGUCUGCAAGGAGAGGGCUACUCUCACUGGAUGAAAUUUGAUAUAUUCAGAAAAGUAAAAAGAGAUGUAUUUGUGGGGCUUCCCUGGUGGCGCAGUGGUUGAGAGUCUGCCUGCCGAUGCAGGGGACACGGGUUCGAGCCCCGGUCUGGGAGGAUCCCACAUGCCGCGGAGCAACUGGGCCCGUGAGCCACAAUUACUGAGCCUGCGCGUCUGGAGCCUGUGCUCCGCAACAAGAGAGGCCGCGAUAGUGAGAGGCCCGCGCACCGCGAUGAAGAGGGGCCCCCACUUGCCGCAACUGGAGAAAGCCCUUGCACAGAAACGAAGACCCAACACAGCCGUAAAUAAAUAAAUAAAUAAAUAAGUCAUUUUUAAAAAAAAAGAGAUGUAUUUGUUAAAUCACCCAGUAUUCUACUACCUAAAGA